CCUACGGGUGGCAGCAGUGGGGAAUAUUGGACAAUGGGCGAAAGCCUGAUCCAGCCAUGCCGCGUGUGUGAAGAAGGCCUUCGGGUUGUAAAGCACUUUCAGUGGGGAAGAAAGCCUUGGGGCUAAUACCCUCGAGGAAGGACAUCACCCACAGAAGAAGCACCGGCUAACUCCGUGCCAGCAGCCGCGGUAAUACGGAGGGUGCGAGCGUUAAUCGGAAUUACUGGGCGUAAAGCGCGCGUAGGCGGUCUGAUAAGCCGGUUGUGAAAGCCCCGGGCUCAACCUGGGAACGGCAUCCGGAACUGUCAGGCUAGAGUGCAGGAGAGGAAGGUAGAAUUCCCGGUGUAGCGAUGAAAUGCGUAGAGAUCGGGAGGAAUACCAGUGGCGAAGGCGGCCUUCUGGACUGACACUGACGCUGAGGUGCGAAAGCGUGGGUAGCAAACAGGAUUAGAUACCCCCAGUAGUC
rnacentral:rRNA from 1 species